rnacentral:rRNA from 1 species
UACGGGGGGGGGCAAGCGUUGUUCGGAAUUACUGGGCGUAAAGGGCGCGUAGGCGGCCUGCUAAGUCGGAUGUGAAAUCCCUCGGCUCAACCGAGGAACUGCAUCCGAUACUGGCGGGCUUGAAUCCGGGAGAGGGAUGUGGAAUUCCAGGUGUAGCGGUGAAAAUGCGUAAGAUAUCUGGAGGAACACCGGUGGCGAAGGCGGCAUCCUGGACCGGUAUUGACGCUGAGGCGCGAAAAGCUAGGGGAGCAAA